UACGUAGGGUGCAAGCGUUGUCCGGAAUUAUUGGGCGUAAAGAGCUCGUAGGCGGUUUGUCGCGUCUGCUGUGAAAGUCCAGGGCUCAACCCUGGGAUGCCGGUGGAUACUGUCGGACUAGAGUGCGGAAGAGGCGAGUGGAAUUCCCGGUGUAGCGGUGAAAUGCGCAGAUAUCAGGAGGAACACCGGUGGCGAAGGCGGAUCUCUGGGCCGAUACUGACGCUGAGGAGCGAAAGCGUGGGGAGCGAACAGG
rnacentral:rRNA from 1 species